GUUGAACGCUGGCGGCAGGCUUAACACAUGCAAGUCGAGCGGGGUGAUGGUGCUUGCACUAUCACUUAGCGGCGGACGGGUGAGUAAUGCUUAGGAAUCUGCCUAUUAGUGGGGGACAACAUCUCGAAAGGGAUGCUAAUACCGCAUACGUCCUACGGGAGAAAGCAGGGGAUCACUUGUGACCUUGCGCUAAUAGAUGAGCCUAAGUCGGAUUAGCUAGUUGGUGGGGUAAAGGCCUACCAAGGCGACGAUCUGUAGCGGGUCUGAGAGGAUGAUCCGCCACACUGGGACUGAGACACGGCCCAGACUCCUACGGGAGGCAGCAGUGGGGAAUAUUGGACAAUGGGGGGAACCCUGAUCCAGCCAUGCCGCGUGUGUGAAGAAGGCCUUAUGGUUGUAAAGCACUUUAAGCGAGGAGGAGGCUCUUUUGGUUAAUACCCAAGAUGAGUGGACGUUACUCGCAGAGUAAGCACCGGCUAACUCUGUGCCAUCCGCCGCCGUAA
rnacentral:rRNA from 1 species